rnacentral:rRNA from 1 species
CCUACGGGGGGCAGCAGUGAGGAAUAUUGGUCAAUGGACGAGAGUCUGAACCAGCCAAGUAGCGUGAAGGAUGACUGCCCUAUGGGUUGUAAACUUCUUUUAUAUGGGAAUAAAAUGUUCCACGUGUGGGAUUUUGUAUGUACCAUAUGAAUAAGGAUCGGCUAACUCCGUGCCAGCAGCCGCGGUAAUACGGAGGAUCCGAGCGUUAUCCGGAUUGAUUGGGUUUAAAGGGAGCGUAGGUGGAUUGUUAAGUCAGUUGUGAAAGUUUGCGGCUCAACCGUAAAAUUGCAGUUGAAACUGGCAGUCUUGAGUACAGUAGAGGUGGGCGGAAUGCGUGGUGUAGCGGUGAAAUGCUUAGAUAUCACGAAGAACUCCGAUUGCGAAGGCAGCUCACUGGACUGCAACUGACACUGAGGCUCGAAAGUGUGGGUAUCAAACAGGAUUAGAUACCCUUGUAGUC